AGUGACGCGGCAAAAGCUCAAAUUUGAAAUCUGGUACCUUUGGUGCCCGAGUUGUAAUUUGGAGAGUACCACUUUGGGACUGUACUUUGCCUAUGUUCCUUGGAACAGGACGUCAUGGAGGGUGAGAAUCCCGUGUGGCGAGGGUGUCAGUUCUUUGUAAAGGGUGCUCGAAGAGUCGAGUUGUUUGGGAAUGCAGCUCUAAGUGGGUGGUAAAUUCCAUCUAAAGCUAAAUACAGGCGAGAGACCGAUAGCGAACAAGUACAGUGAUGGAAAGAUGAAAAGAACUUUGAAAAGAGAGUGAAAAAGUACGUGAAAUUGUUGAAAGGGAAGGGCAUUUGAUCAGACAUGGUGUUUUGCGCCCCUUGCCUCUCGUGGGCUUGGGACUCUCGCAGCUCACUGGGCCAGCAUCGGUUUUGGCGGCCGGAAAAAACCUAGGGAAUGUGGCUCUGCGCCUCGGUGUAGAGUGUUAUAGCCCUGGGGAAUACGGCCAGCCGGGACCGAGGACUGCGAUACUUGUUAUCUAGGAUGCUGGCAUAAUGGUUAUAUGCCGCCCGUCUUGA
rnacentral:rRNA from 1 species